rnacentral:rRNA from 1 species
AUACGGAGGAUCCGAGCGUUAUCCGGAUUUAUUGGGUUUAAAGGGUGCGCAGGCGGCCAUUUAAGUCAGCGGUUAAAUCGUGGGGCUCAACCCCAUUCUGCCGUUGAUACUGGGUGGCUUGAUUGCGGUCGAGGUUGGCGGAAUUCGUUGUGUAGCGGUGAAAUGCAUAGAUAUGACGAAGAACACCGAUUGCGUAGGCAGCUGACCAGACCGCAAAUGACGCUCAUGCACGAAAGUGCGGGGAUCGAACAGGAUUAGAUGCACUGGUAGGCCGCAGAGUAAACGAUUAAUACUUGUUUUCGGCGAUAUAAUGUCGGAGGCAAAGCGAAAGCGAUAAGUAUUCCACCUGGGGAGUACGCCGGCAACGGUGAAACUCAAAUGAAUUGACGGGG